CCUGGUACUCAAAGGGAUGUCGACUAUGACAUUCAACAGUUCAGAACUUCCUAACUCUAUCCACUGAGCCACCUAGCCGCCUAAGGGAACACAAGAACUGCAUAAAAGAUGGAUAGAGAUGGAAGAUGCAUAUAUGGAGAAUGGAUUGGAGAUAGAAGAAAAUAAAAGCAGGAAGCCCAAUUUGGAUUCUAUUAAGGCAAGAGAUGUGAAGCAAAGGCCAGUUCUGAGGUCUAGUAGUCAGUGGAGGAAACCUAAGGCCAUCAUCCUCUACGGAGGAACAAUCACUUACAAUCCUCGGAAGAGCAGAGGCACCUGCCAGGACAGCACCCCUUUUUGCUGGCGAACCACGAAGAGGACAGGAUACUUGAGG